CAGAAAAUCACGAGAAUUUAAAAUCCCCGCUUUCCUUCCAAAGCACGAGCAAACUCAGCGCAGAACGUUUAUUCCACGAUCCACGCACCUGCUUUUUUCUUUACGAAACGAUGAGAAACUUGAUGCAAGAUUUAUUGGCCUAUUCGAAACGGAACAGCUUGUAGAGGCAUAUCUAUAAAUAUCUGUACGUCGCUCAGCACGUAUUCUCGUAUGAAAGAGCGUAAAUUGGUUCAUAGACCUCCCUCGCGUCGUUAGCUAUAGAUCAGGCUCUUGCCGCGUUUCGUACAAUACAUGAACUCCCGCGACAUUAAUUCCUCGUGAUGAUGAUGGCUCGGCAAUUUAUCGAUGGAAGGGGAGGCAUAGAGCGGAGUAUCGACGCGUUGCCUCCUGUGCAACGCAGCAUCCUUCCAAUUGUACGUCGCAAACUGGUGCGCUCGUGUCUGGAUCAUCGACUCAUUUAUUUGCCCUAUAUUUUCGUUCAUUCGGUGGAGCAGCGUUGUCGCAUUAUUUCGUGAAAAAAUCGGUGGCUCGAUGGGCUCUGAAUUUCGUCGAGAAUUUUUUUUUUUAUCUCACUGUAGAUCGUGGUCGUUUUUGCACCUUUUUCUUCGUCGGUACGCUAUCAGCGUCCUCUUGGUAAUUCAUUUCGUUCUCGUCUUUAUCUCCUUUGUAUGAAUGACAUUAAAAAGUACUUGAAGGAAGGCCGUCUGCACGAUAAAUCCUCGAGUUUGUUUCCAGGAAAGUCGAGAGUUAUCGGUCCAUUCGGGUUGGUGCUAAUGAGCUUGGAAGGCAUCGAUCCCUUGAAAAUUUAAACGAAGUUGAAAUAAUAUGUACAACGGGAAUUCUCCUAUUUCGACGUUUUCCAAUCGAUUUUCACAACCACGACUGUGUACUUUCAGCUAACCCUCCAGCACGCACGAACGAAAAUGUUUACUCAAAUGUUGAAAGUGCUUCGAAAAGCGUGCCACAAAUUUAUAUUAAAUGUUGUAUUCGAAAGAGUAAAAGUUCAAAACGAUUUAAAACUGGGAGAAAUAAAGAGGCAAUAAUCGAU